CCUGUCCCAGUUUAUCAAAAGCAACCAGCCCAAUAAUUCUCAUGCCAAAGAGACAUCUUGGCGUGGCCAAGACCAGUUCCCCACAGAACCAUGUCUAAAUAUCAUAAAUAUGGUUUCUGCUUUUUAUUACCAGUGAAGACAAUGCUCUUCAAGUUUCUUUGCUCCUCUUCCAGUCUCUCAUUCCUUCUUCCCUCUCGGCAUUCUUCCUUCCUUUCACCUUUCUUGUGUCCUUUCUCUCAAUGACCUUCUUCCAUUCUUUCUUUCUUGAGUGUCUACCGUGUGUCAGGCCCUGUCUUGGGACUUGGAGAUGCAGAGGUGAGCAGGGGAUAUAGCCCCUGGUGAGAAGCAGAGAGGAGACCCAAGGAAAGAUAGUUACUAAGAAAUAGGCUAUAUGAGCCUGCCACCCAGCAGAAAGGAAAUUUGGAGCAAGAAAUAAAAUUGCUCGGUGAAAUCACUCAUGCUUUUAAGGCUACUUACAGAGUCUACCUAGAGUUAGAUGAGGGCUGAGAACAGGGGCCUGGGAAACACUGGCUUUCCCUAGGAUUUGUGGAAAUUGAGGGGCCUCUGACCAAUUCAGAGGAAGAAAUAGCCUCAGAAACAAGAAGCAAACUGGAAGCUGUUUGUAUCAUUGAAAGCAUCAUGAAAUUCAGCAAGGUUAAAUAACGUGACUGAACUUCCGUGACUGGAGAGUGGAAGAGUCAUAUGUAAAUAUCAUUAUUAGGAAAAACAUUAUUCCCCAUUCAUGUUCCCAACGGAGGACAGCAUUAGUGUCUUUCUUUCUGUCUCUUAGGCACUCCACUCAGGGACAGAGGGGUGACAUUUUAUUGUUGGUUAUGGAAGAGAAACUGGACAUUGGAUAGCUCUCUUGUCUUUGGGAUCUGCCUGCCUGAAAAAAAAAUCACAAUUUCCUAUCUCCUUUGGGCUGUGAUGUAAUUUUAGCAGGAAAGACCCUGUCCUGGAGGGAGGAGGUCUGCGGUAGACCAGAGCUGCCUGUGACUGGGUCUGCCCAAUUCCGAGGUUUAGUAUAAGGAACCCAAAGUAGCUGCACACCUAAGCUGCAUUUCUCUAUUAGCUUUAUCAGUAUUAAAUCUGACAAUGGUCCUUCAUUUACCUGACUCUUCUCUGACUCUUUCUCAGUGGAUUCUCACUUUGCAUGAGACAGAAGGGUGAUACUAUUUGGGGUCCCUUCAACUUCAACAGUCGUAAAAAGUUCCCUCCUAUCAACAAGCAACAAGGAACAUCUUUCAAACAUAGACAGAUAUCAAAAUGGAAAACAACUUAUUUGUCUUUGGUGGAAAGUAAAAAUGAUGACUGCAUAAAUAUAAUUUGAGAAGCCAUGGCUUCUCAGCUGGUGGCAAGGUCUGAAGUUCCCUCCUUCUAUAUUUCAAAGGUACUAUGUUAGUACUUCUCUUUUCUUCAUGGACAAUUUUAUAUUCAUAUGGGAGCAAAUGCUUGGAGAAAUGGGAUGGCAAUAGCCUUCAAAAUAACCCAAAAAGCUUAUUUAGACUUUUCACAUGUGAGGGACUGUUCGCUUUACAUAUACUAACUCAUGCAAUCCUCAUGACAGUUCCAUUUCAUAGAUGAGAGAACUGUGACAUAGGGAGAUUGUGACUCACCUGAGGUCAUGGGGUUCUGGGACUGGCACAACCUUAGCUGCUGUACCAUCGACAUCCACGCUGUUAACAACUAUACUUUCUGUCCCUUCUCUGCUGUUCCCAUUUUACCUUCUUCACCAUCUUCUUUAAGGGUCCUCUAUUGGCCAAACCCAGCUUGAAGCCAUUUGGUAAGAAAGUCCACUAAGGUCACAGGAGCAUGGACAAGAGGGUAUCUUACCCAUGGAAGAAUAAGCACAUUGUAGAGCUGUUACUAGUCUCUGAAGGACUGUGCUUUACAUCGGAAGCCAGUUGUCAUUUUGUGGGAGCACUCAAGCAUCACCAUGGAGGGGUCCACAGAGCAAAAACCUGCGGCCUCCUGCCAACAACCAUUUUGGAAGCAGAUUCUGCAGCCCCAGUGAAAACUUUAAAUGACUAUAGUCCAGGCUGAUGUCUUGACUGCAACCUCAUGAGAAGUUCUGAACCAGAACCACCUAAGUGACUACUGAAUUCUUAACUCAUUAAAAUUAUGAGAUAGCAA